UCCUCCUCCUCAUCUCUUCUGUUUCUCUCCCACGAGCUCCUCUCUUCUACCCCUCCCGAACUCUCUUUGCCUCCCUCCCUCCUGACCUCCUCCAUCUCCCUCUCUCCAUCCCGCCGGCCACGACUCCCUCCUUCCCCGGCCUCCUCCCAUCCUGAGCCGAAGAGGCCAGAUCCGGUCUCCCAUGGCCGCGUGCCGCCGGAUCCGCGCCCCGUCGGGCCGCCGCCGCCGAGCAGGAGGGCGCGGGCGCAGCCCCCGAUGCCGGCCCCCGCCGCCACCGCGGAGGAGGGCGCGAGCGCAGCCUCCGAUGCCGCCCACCCCCGCCAUCUCUGCCGGAUCAGGCCGACCCCGGUCAGCUCGUCGCCGGAUCCGGCGACCAAGACGCCGCUGCACACCGCCGAUGGUGGCUGCCAACUGCCAACUCGCGGGUGGAGAGGAGGAGCUUGUCGUCGGUGAACUUGCGGAUUAAUUCGAUGAGGGCGCCGCCGCCGAGGAGACGAAGCCCGUGGGUUCCAGUUGCCGUCGUGGAGAUGAGCCGCCAACGCCGCGGGUUCCAGUGAAUUGAUGAUUUAGAUUGUACUGUGAUUUGUGGAUUUAGAUUGUACGCAGCCGGAUCUUUUGCUUCAUUGGAUUAAUUUGUUUGAUUUGUGAUUAUUGAAUAGAAGAGAGGGCAUGUGGCCUGCUUUUUUUUAUUUU